AGAAGCUUGUGUUAGCUUUGAUGA
rnacentral:siRNA from 1 species